CCUUAGGAGAAACUGUGUUGUUUCUUUGCUAAUUUCACUGAACAUUUCCCAAAAUAUUAGAAAAAAAUUCUUAACAAGCUACAUUGAUUCAAUUUUCGUUGUUCGUUUUGUUCUUAUUCGCUGACAUUUGUUUUCUAAUUGCGUGAAAUUCGGUAAUUUCCUUAGUGUUUUCCUGGCCGACCUGUGCUGGUAUUGUAAUUAAGAGCUAAUACACCAUUCUCUGGUGAACUGCAGCUGCGGCCGAAUUUGAUUGUGUGCAUCAUCCUGCAGAUAUUUUGAAAUUUUGUGGACGCUUCUGCUGUGCUGCGUUCCUCCGCCCGUGUAUUGCUCCGCCCGUGUUUUAUAGUGUUGCGUUCCUGUUGCGCCUUUGCA